UACGAAGGGGGCUAGCGUUGCUCGGAAUCACUGGGCGUAAAGCGCACGUAGGCGGGUCUUUAAGUCAGGGGUGAAAUCCCGAGGCUCAACCUCGGAACUGCCUUUGAUACUAUUGGUCUUGAAUGUUGUUGAGGUGGGCGGAACGGGUCAUGUAGCGGUGAAAUGCAUAGAUAUGACCCGGAACACCGAUUGCGAAGGCAGCCCGCUAAGCAACUAUUGACGCUGAGGCACGAAAGCGUGGGGAUCAAACAGG
rnacentral:rRNA from 1 species